UACAGAGGUCUCAAGCGUUGUUCGGAUUCCUUGGGCGUAAAGGGUGCGUCGGCGGCGCGGUAAGUCGGGUGUGAAAUCUCGGGGCUUAACUCCGAAACUGCAUUCGAUACUGCCGUGCUUGAGGACUGGAGAGGAGACUGGAAUUUACGGUGUAGCGGUGAAAUGCGUAGAUAUCGUAAGGAAGACCAGUGGCGAAGGCGGGUCUCUGGACAGUUCCUGACGCUGAGGCACGAAGGUCAGGGGAGCAAACGGG
rnacentral:rRNA from 1 species